rnacentral:rRNA from 1 species
GACGAACGCUGGCGGCGUGCUUAACACAUGCAAGUCGAACGGAAAGGCUCCAGCUUGCUGGAGUGCUCGAGUGGCGAACGGGUGAGUAACACGUGGGCAAUCUGCCCUGCACUCUGGGAUAAGCCUGGGAAACUGGGUCUAAUACCGGAUAGGACCUUUCUCCCCAUGGGGUUUGGUGGAAAGUUUUUCGGUGCAGGAUGAGCCCGCGGCCUAUCAGCUUGUUGGUGGGGUAAUGGCCUACCAAGGCGACGCCGGGUAGCCGGCCUGAGGGGGUGGUCGGCGACAAUGGUACUAAGAUACGGCCCAGACGCGUACGUGAGGCAGCAGUGGGGAAUAUUGCCCAAUGGGCGAAAGCCGGAUGCAGCGACGCCGCGGUAGGGAAGACGGCCUUCGGGUUGUAAACCUCUUUCAGUAAGGACGAAGCGCAAGUGACGGUACCUGCAGAAGAAGCACCGGCUAACUACGUG